rnacentral:rRNA from 1 species
UAGGGUGAUUAUUACGAAAGGGCUCACCUCUUCCCAUUCCGAACAGAGAAGUUAAGCCUUUCAGUGCCGAUGGUACUGCUACUUGCGGGAGAGUAGGUCAUUGCCAGUU